UUUAUUUAGGUUGUAACUGACAGAAACCACAACAUCUGGAAAUCAAAAACCAACUUAGUUCAGUUCUUUCAUUUUUUUCCCUUAUCCCCAGCCACAGCCACUGUAAUCAAAACUAAUUACUUCCUUACAGAAAGAGAAUCAAAAUCUUAAGGCAAACUGGGUUUUUUAAUCUCUCACAGUUUUGUUGUUUCAAAGUCACUCAAAUACUCUCGAAACAUCCGACCUGAUAAUGAUAACAAUGAUGAGUGGAGAUAGCUUAAACCACGUUGUUGAUCAGAGAUACAAGACUGAGUUCAACAAAUUCAUUGCUAGAGCCAAAAGAAACCACAAUAUCUGCACUGACGGAGUCUCCAAACCUGGAGAUGAAGGGGAGUUUGUGAAGAGCUAUUUGUAUAGGAGACAUGGAUAGAAGUUUCAAAAAAAUUCUCUAAAUUUGAGGUAUCCAUUCUCUUUCUCUGUCUUUCACUAAUGAACAUUUGGAAUUUUAACUUCAAAAUUAAUUUAGUUUUUGAUUAUGUUGAUGACGAGUACAAAUCUUCCCCAAAAAUUCAAAAUAGCAAUAGUUGACGCUCAUGUCUCAUGUGUUAAGCGAGGGAAGUGACAGAUAGUCAAAAUUUUAAAUAUCUGAUUUUGAUCGUUAUUUGAGUGACUGCAAGUCUGUUUCAAGGAACAUGAGUCAAGGGUGUAAAUGAGGAUGCAAUAAAGGAAUCUAUAGGGGAAAUAGAGUUACUACAGAUAUAUCUGCCACAGAGGUGAACCUAUGGCAGAAAGGAAAAGAAAGCCAAAGCGGCCAAACCAGAAGAACAGCUGUGCAAUUGGAUAAUAAUGUUCUAAAGCCUAGAGUAUUUGAUAAAGCCGAAUGGUGCCUUUCAUUUCUAAGACGACAAUUUAUCUUGGAAUUUCAUGUGGAGCAGCUGGAAGGACGAUUUGAAACAUAGGCGAAGACAUGUUUAAGUAUAUCAAGUCGUCAUCCUGAGCACUGACAAUUGCUAUACAACGGUAAGCAGAGAUGGAAUUCGCGUGGAUUCAAAUACUUAUGCAGUUCACAAAGAAGUCCAAUGUUUAUCUAAUUCCGGUGUUGAUCACGAAGGUUGAGUAUUGAUACAGAGCUUCAAUCAAUUGUAUCCAUCAUCAUCCAUUCCUGAAGCUGAUGUGGAAGCUUUCAGUAAGGCUCACUGGUGACCUCUUUUCGUAAGCAGCUUUCAGUGAAGCACCUUCAGUAUUCUAAAUCACCUAUUAGAAGUUGCAGGUCGUGAGUCGUUUCAUAUUUAUUUAUUGUAUCUUUUUGUUUUUGGUAUAGAAAUUUUAUGCGUGGACUUCAUGGAGAGUUUCCAGAGAAGUUAAGAAAUUUGAAAAUGCCAUAAUUGCUACCUGGAUAAUACGUUAGGUGCUGCAUAUUCUUUGUACUUAUCAAGAUUCGUAACAUUCAUACAGAUGCGUUGCAAGAACACGGUGUAGAGUUCAUGCCUUUCUGAUUAUCCUUCUUCCUCACAUUGAGUGCUAAUUGAAUGUUUGAGUAAGCAAAGUUUAACUCCAGGGUUGAUUCAUUUCAAGUUUAUGUAAAUCAUCUAAAGCUAUAUGUUCAAAUAUACCACAUAAUAUUUGUUUCGACUU